rnacentral:rRNA from 1 species
UACGUAGGGUGCGAGCGUUGUCCGGAAUUACUGGGCGUACAGAGCUCGUAGGUGGUUUGUCGCGUUGUCCGUGAAAACUCACAACUCAAUUGUGGGCGUGCGGGCGAUACGGGCAGACUUGAGUACUGCAGGGGAGACUGGAAUUCCUGGUGUAGCGGUGGAAUGCGCAGAUAUCAGGAGGAACACCGGUGGCGAAGGCGGGUCUCUGGGCAGUAACUGACGCUGAGGAGCGAAAGCGUGGGGAGCAAACAGG